rnacentral:ncRNA from 1 species
UUAAAAGCUAUGACUAAGAAGUAGUAUGAAAACAAUAAAAUUCUUCACAGAAAGCAACCGGUUGAUGAGAGGUGCGUAGAAUAGUUUUUCUGAAUUCAUCUUAUGAGCUGCCCUUUGAACUGAUUUUCUAAGUAGAAGGUGCCGGUGACACCCGUUAAAAAUGUAAAGUAUUUAUUUUAGAUACUUAUUGAGUUCUUCAGCGUGAGUUGUUGAUAAAAUUAGGUGGUAACACGAUUAUUAGAUCGUCCUUUGA